AAGUCGUAACAAGGUUUCCGUAGGUGAACCUGCGGAAGGAUCAUUACCGAGUGAGGGCCCUCUGGGUCCAACCUCCCACCCGUGUUUAUCGUACCUUGUUGCUUCGGCGGGCCCGCCUCACGGCCGCCGGGGGGCUUCUGCCCUCUGGUCCGCGCCCGCCGAAGACACCAUUGAACGCUGUCUGAAGAUUGCAGUCUGAGCAAUUAGCUAAAUAAGUUAAAACUUUCAACAACGGAUCUCUUGGUUCCG
rnacentral:misc_RNA from 1 species